GGGGGGAGAGGAGAAGAAGGGGAUCAGGUCCCUGUUUUGGACAAGGAGAAGAGAAGAAGAAGCUUCUUCUCUCUCUUCUCAACUAAUUAACAAAUUAAAUUAGAUAAUUAAUUAAUCAAUUUAUAUAUAUAUUUUUAGAUGGUUUAAAAAAAUUUGGGAAGAAAAAAAUAUUGGGGACAAAGGUGAGGAUCUCGAUAAACCCCAAUAGGCGAUUUUAGAAAAUUAAUUUGAUUUAUUUUAUAAUAUUAAUUCAAUAUAUAUAGGAGAACAGUCUAUCGAACAGGAGGACAUCGAGUAGGAUUUUGACAUGCAUCC
rnacentral:lncRNA from 1 species